rnacentral:rRNA from 1 species
AUUGAAGAAGCUUGCUUCUGAUUGAUAACAUUUGAGUGAGUGGCGGACGGGUGAGUAACACGUGGGUAACCUGCCCUAAAGUGGGGGAUAACAUUUGGAAACAGAUGCUAAUACCGCAUAAAACCUAGCACCGCAUGGUGCAAGGUUGAAAGAUGGUUUCGGCUAUCACUUUAGGAUGGACCCGCGGUGCAUUAGUUAGUUGGUGAGGUAAAGGCUCACCAAGACCGUGAUGCAUAGCCGACCUGAGAGGGUAAUCGGCCACACUGGGACUGAGACACGGCCCAGACUCCUACGGGAGGCAGCAGUAGGGAAUCUUCCACAAUGGACGAAAGUCUGAUGGAGCAACGCCGCGUGAGUGAAGAAGGUUUUCGGAUCGUAAAACUCUGUUGUUGGAGAAGAACGUAUUUGAUAGUAACUGAUCAGGUAGUGACGGUAUCCAACCAGAAAGCCACGGCUAACUACGUGCCAGCAGCCGCGGUAAUACGUAGGUGGCAAGCGUUGUCCGGAUUUAUUGGGCGUAAAGCGAGCGCAGGCGGUUUCUUAAGUCUGAUGUGAAAGCCUUCGGCUCAACCGAAGAAGUGCAUCGGAAACUGGGAAACUUGAGUGCAGAAGAGGACAGUGGAACUCCAUGG